rnacentral:rRNA from 1 species
AGCGAACGCUGGCGGCAGGCCUAACACAUGCAAGUCGAACGAACUCUUCGGAGUUAGUGGCGGACGGGUGAGUAACACGUGGGAACGUGCCUUUAGGUUCGGAAUAACUCAGGAAACCUGUUCCGAAAACCGAUGUGGCCUUCGGGGGGAAAGAUUUAUCGCCUUUAGAGCGGCCCGCGUCUGAUUAGUUAGUUGGGGAGGUAAAGGGUAACCAAGGCGACGAUCAGUAGCUGUUCUGAGAGGAUGAUCAGCCACAUUGGGACUGAGACACGGCCCAACCUCCUACGGGAGGCAGCAGUGGGGAAUCUUGCGCAAUGGGCGAAAGCCUGACGCAGCCAUGCCGCGUGAAUGAUGAAGGUCUUAGGAUUGUAAAAUUCUUUCACCGGGGACGAUAAUGACGGUACCCGGAGAAGAAGCCCCGGCUAACUUCGUG